rnacentral:lncRNA from 1 species
ACUAGUAAGGGCAAGGCUAGGAUCGGCAUCCAAGCGAUCUGGCUCACAGCCCACCAUGCUGUCACCUACUGCACUAUAGCAGUGGCUGAAUGUCAGCCUUAAGACAGUGAGAUUCACAGGUUAAACCAACACCAGAUUCCCCAGCCUCAAUCUUUCAGCAGAGGGUUGGAAAGGGCAUGGACUUUAAAGUCAGGGAUGGCGUCAAAUCCAGGCCUAAGAACAAUAUUGCUCACCCUCAGGUUCCACGCCUCUAAAUUGUUCAUAAUGUCAAGUAAAAAUAACACAAAAAUAUGUGUGCUACAAGUGAAACUGAGUAACAUAUACACACGAUUAUUAUACAAGAUUAAAAAUAGUUAAGAUGGAGGCAUCAUUGGCCAACUUUUCAAUUAUUUUAAAUAUCCUUUAAAGUUAUUUUAGUACCUCUGAAAUGAAAAAGCAGGAAAAAAUUUGCUGUUAUUUACACCAAACUUGACCUUGUAGUAGGGAUGAAACGGCCACCAUGAAAGCCUGAGGGCCCACUCCCCAGCUUACCCCCAGGUACUCAGUUAUUCUUUCUUUGCUCAAGGGUAGAAAGAGCCAAAAUACUCAUAUAUCAUAUGUAGCAUAACCCUAUUUUCUGUAACAAUCUCAAACAAAGGCAGUAUGUUGAGAGAGACAGGGAAAUGUCUUCUAAAGCAAUCCCUUUUGAGCAGUGAAUUUGCUGGUUACUAACAGCAGGG